rnacentral:rRNA from 1 species
GAUGAACGCUGGCGGUCUGCUUACACAUGCAAGUCGAACGCAACCUUCGGGUUGAGUGGCGGACGGGUGAGUAACGCGUGAGAAUCUGCCUUGGGGUCGGGGACAACCACUGGAAACGGUGGCUAAUACCGGAUAAGCCUUUGGGUAAAAGAUUUAUUGCCCCAAGAGGAGCUCGCGUCUGAUUAGCUAGUUGGUGAGGUAAAAGCUCACCAAGGCAGCGAUCAGUAGCUGGUCUGAGAGGACGAUCAGCCACACUGGGACUGAGACACGGCCCAGACUCCUACGGGAGGCAGCAGUGGGGAAUUUUCCGCAAUGGGCGAAAGCCUGACGGAGCAAGACCGCGUGAGGGAGGAAGGCUCUUGGGUUGUAAACCUCUUUUCUCAGGGAAGAAGCUCUGACGGUACCUGAGGAAUCAGCCUCGGCUAACUCCGUGCCAGCAGCCGCGGUAAUACGGAGGAGGCAAGCGUUAUCCGGAAUUAUUGGGCGUAAAGCGUCCGCAGGUGGCGAUUCAAGUCUGCUGUCAAAGCACGGGGCUUAACUCCGUUAAGGCAGUGGAAACUGAAUAGCUAGAGUGCCGUAGGGGUAGAGGGAAUUCCCGGUGUAGCGGUGAAAUGCGUAGAGAUCGGGAAGAACAUCGGUGGCGAAAGCGCUCUACUGGACGGCAACUGACACUCAGGGACGAAAGCUAGGGGAGCGAAUGGGAUUAGAUACCCCAGUAGUCCUAGCUGUAAACCGAUGGAUACUAGGUGUAGCUUGUAUCGACCCGAGCUGUGCCGAAGCUAACGCGUUAAGUAUCCCGNCUGGGGAGUACGCACGCAAGUGUGAAACUCAA